CUAGCAGGACACGCCCUCCAACUUCCGGGGAGCCCACUUAUUUCCGGUCGCCGCCUGGCUGCGUAAGCGGAAGAGACGGUGCCUACGGCUCCGGUGCUCUCCAGCUAUUUUACAAAGGCGCGGUCCGAGCGCUGUGGGCUGGGGACCUGGUUGCAGACCUAGUUUCCAGAGAGCCCUGGCUGGAAGGGAGCGACUUCCUGAAGAAAGACGACUAAGGAAGAAGUUCAUCAGCGUCCCGUGAGACGGUUGUGAGCCACGUACUGUUGAUCUCUCAUUGGUCACAAAUCUGUUUCCAAGCCAGGCGUGGUGGGACACACCCUUUAAUCCCAGCGGUCAAAAAGUCGGAGAAGGCGGAUCUGUGAGAAUGAAGGCAUCCAACCAAGGAACUGGAAGACCACUGUACCUUUUUCUGAAGAAAAAGGUGAAUCAUCCAGAGAAAAAGUCCCAAGAAAAAGUGUAAAUUGGCCUAUUGGUAUAUCACAUUUCCAACAGGAUAAAAUUUCACAAAUCA